rnacentral:lncRNA from 1 species
UCCGGUCUCAUAUGAUAGCUUCUUUCACACUGAUUCCAAAAAUAUAUAGUUUCUCUAUACUUUUGUAUGUAGAAUGGGAGAUAAUUGGCCACUUCCGGUUUGUUGAAAGUUAUUUUUAGUCUUCAGUAAUCUGUUCAUGUAUCUAUAUGACAAAUAAUAUGGAUUCUGAGUACUUUUAUGUGAAAAAACUGCAAAAAUAGCUACUUCCGGUUUCCUAAAGGUCACUUCCGGUAGUCAUUUUUCAAGGUCAUUUGUCAC